GCACUUGAAUGAUUUUGAAAUCGUCUCUUUUCUUCUCGCUAGUCUUGGAUCAGACUAUGAUUCAGUUAUCACAUUAGUGAUUGCAGGGGUUGAUCCUCUAUCCAUUGAGGACUUGUAUGGGCAUUUAUUAGCUUCGACU